rnacentral:rRNA from 1 species
UACGUAGGGUGCGAGCGUUGUCCGGAAUUACUGGGCGUAAAGAGCUCGUAGGUGGUUUGUCGCGUUGUUCGUGAAAUUCCCUGGCUUAACUGGGGGUGUGGCGGGCGAGUACGGGCAGACUGGAGUACUGCAGGGGAGGACUGGAAUUCCUGGUGUAGCGGUGGAAUGCGCAGAUAUCAGGAGGAACACCGGUGGCGAAGGCGGGUCUCUGGGCCGAUACUGACGCUGAGGAGCGAAAGCGUGGGGAGCGAACAGG